UGGGGAAUAUUGCACAAUGGGCGCAAGCCUGAUGCAGCCAUGCCGCGUGUGUGAAGAAGGCCUUCGGGUUGUAAGCACUUUCAGCGAGGAGGAAGGUGGUGAACUUAAUACGUUCAUCAAUUGACGUUACUCGCAGAAGAAGCACCGGCUAACUCCGUGUCAGCAGCCGCGGUAAUACGGAGGGUGCAAGCGUUAAUCGGAAUUACUGGGCGUAAAGCGCACGCAGGCGGUUUGUUAAGUCAGAUGUGAAAUCCCCGGGCUCAACCUGGGAACUGCAUUUGAAACUGACAAGCUAGAGUCUCGUAGAGGGGGGUAGAAUUCCAGGUGUAGCGGUGAAAUGCGUAGAGAUCUGGAGGAAUACCGGUGGCGAAGGCGGCCCCCCUGGACGAAGACUGACGCUCAGGUGCGAAAAGCGUGGGGCAGCAAACAGGAUUAGAUACCCUGGUGUCCACGCUGUAAACAAUGUCGAUUUGGAGGUUGUGCCCUUGAGGCGUGGCUUCCGGAGCUAACGCGUUAAAUCGACCG
rnacentral:rRNA from 1 species